UUGCUUCAGCAGCACAUAUACUAAAAUUGGAAUGAUACAGAAGCUUUGCCCAAGGAUGACAUGCAAAUUCGUGAAGCAUUCCAUAUAUUU
ensembl:snRNA U6 U6 spliceosomal RNA